rnacentral:misc_RNA from 1 species
CGACAAUGUUUCCUGUAUCUGAGAAUAAAAUAAAGACUUGGCCAAGUAGGGGAAUGAAAGUCUCGGUUAUUGCUACAACAGAAUUCAAUGAAAAACAGUAACAUCAAACAUGGAAUGAAGUUGAAAAUCAUGCAGUCGCUACAGCAGGCAAAAGGCCACUGUGCCGGAGCAGUGGUUCUGGUGACGGUUCCCGACCUCGAAAUUGAACAAAAACCUCUAAUGGAGCUUUUCCACCACCAAGAGCAAGAACGGUUUCUCGGAAUCUAUGCCCAGUUUCCCUUACAGCCUUGCUAUCAUUCAACCCAGCAUCCUCAAAUGCAGAAAAGGCAUCAGCAGAU